GAUGAACGCUAGCGGGAGGCCUAACACAUGCAAGCCGAGCGGUAGAUCUUCUUCGGAAGAUUGAGAGCGGCGCACGGGUGCGGAACACGUGUGCAACCUGCCUUUAUCUGGAAGAUAGCCCACCGAAAGGUGGAUUAAUAUUCCAUAAUAUAUUGAUUGGCAUCAGUUAAUAUUGAAAGCUCCGGCGGAUAAAGAGGGGCACGCGCAAGAUUAGAUAGGUGGUGAGGUAACGGCUCACCAAGGCUGCGAUCUUUAGGGGGCCUGAGAGGGUGAUCCCCCACACUGGUACUGAGACACGGACCAGACUCCUACGGGAGGCAGCAGUGAGGAAUAUUGGACAAUGGGUGCAAGCCUGAUCCAGCCAUCCCGCGUGAAGGAUUAAGGUCCUAUGGAUUGUAAACUUCUUUUCUACAGGGAUAAACCUAUUUACGUGUAAAUAGCUAAAGGUACUGUAGGAAUAAGCACCGGCUAACUCCGUGCCAGCAGCCGCGGUAAUAC
rnacentral:rRNA from 1 species